rnacentral:rRNA from 2 species
CUCCUUGAGAGUCCUGAAGGAACGUUGAAGACGACGACGUUGAUAGGCCGGGUGUGUAAGCGCAGCGAUGCGUUGAGCUAACCGGUACUAAUGAACCGUGAGGCUUAACCUUACAACGCCGAAGCUGUU